rnacentral:lncRNA from 1 species
UUUCAGAUGACAACAAUAAAAUGCAUACUUUCCCGAGCACACAACAGCAAAAAUUUAAUGGCAAACUUCAACGAUUGAGAAAAUAGAAAAGAAAACAAAAGAAAAGAAGGGAAAAUGAAAUAAGGAAAAGAAGACAAAAAAAUAAUGUAAAAGAAAAAAAUAAAGUUUAGGAAACCAUUUAAUUUUUUAAAAUAAAAUAAUUCUGCAGAGUAG